GAUCAGGAAUCUUCUGUAUAGCCAAGACUCUUUCUGGAUCCAUUUGCAGCUUUCCACCCCCAAUGAUAAACCCAAGGCAUUGUGCUACCAAACGAAGAUAUCGCAGAUGCGUCUGGAAGUCAGGAGCUAUCACCAGAAGAUCGUCCAGAUAGACAAAUACGUUUGAUCGUAGUUGUGUCGGAAUGACUUGGUCCAUCAAUCGACAUAAUCUUUGGGCCGCAUUGCAGAGGCCGAAAGGCAUCAUCACGAAUUGGUAAAGUGGUCGUCCGGCUACUGUGAAAGCGGUAUACUUCCGGCUUUCCGGUUCCAAUUUUAUUUGCCAGAACGCAAAUUUAAGAUCGACGCUAGAUAUAUAAUAUGUCUGGUCGAUCCUAGACAAUAUGCCUUCGAUACUCGGGAGAGGGUAGGCGUCCUUUACGGUGAGCUGGUUAAGUUUCCGCGCGUCUAAGCAGAAUCUGUUUUUAUCUGGAUUUCGCACGACCGUUGUUCUAUUGCUCCACGGACUAUCACUAACCUCUAUAACCCCUAGCUCUAGCAUUUUGUCUACUUCUUUCCAGACCACUUCCUGCAUCGCUGGUGAUAGCGGGUAACAACGAUCCUUAAACGGUACUGCGCCCUCCACCAGCUGGAUCUGGUGCUGUUCUGCUGCAGUCGUUCCUAGCCCGGCUUCUUCGUAAGUCAAAAAUUCCUUCUUCACGUUCUCCAACUCCUCAGCUUCAUUCAUUCCCAGGUCCCAAGCUUC